rnacentral:rRNA from 1 species
GAUGAACGCUGGCGGCGUGCCUAAUACAUGCAAGUCGAGCGAACAGACGAGGAGCUUGCUCCUCUGACUUUAGCGGCGGACGGGUGAGUAACACGUGGAUAACCUACCUAUAAGACUGGGAUAACUUCGGGAAACCGGAUCUAAUACCGGAUAAUAUAUUGAACCGCAUGGUUCAAUAGUGAAAUACGGUUUUGCUGUCACUUAUAGAUGGAUCCGCGCCGCAUUAGCUAGUUGGUAAGGUAACCGCUUACCAAGGCAACGAUGCGUAGCCGACCUGAGAGGGGGAUCGGCCACAUUGGAACUGAGACACGGUCCAGACUCCUACGGGAGGCAGCAGUAGGGAAUCUUCGGAAAUGGGCGAAAGCCUGACGGAGCAACGCCGCGUGAGUGAUGAAGGUCUUGGGAUCUUAAAACUCUGUUAUUAGGGAAGAAAAAAUGUGUACGUAAAUAUGCACGUCUUGACGGUACCUAAUCAGAAAGCCACGGCUAACUACGUG